GCCUAGUUAGCUUGGUUGGUAGCGCGUCUGCCUUGUAAGCGCUAGGCCGCGGGUUCGAUUCCCGCCCGGGCG
rnacentral:tRNA from 1 species